rnacentral:rRNA from 1 species
GAUGAACGCUAGCGGCAGGCUUAAUACAUGCAAGUCGUGGGGCAGCAGGGGUGUAGCAAUACACUCGCUGGCGACCGGCAAACGGGUGUGGAACACGUACACAACCUUCCUUUAAGUGGGGAAUAGCCCGGGGAAACCCGGAUUAAUACCCCGUAACAUAGUGAAAAGGCAUCUUUUUAUUAUUAUAGCAGCAAUGCGCUUGAUGAUGGGUGUGCGCCUGAUUAGGCAGUUGGCGGGGUAACGGCCCACCAAACCUACGAUCAGUAACUGGUGUGAGAGCACGACCAGGCACACGGGCACUGAGACACGGGCCCGACUCCUACGGGAGGCAGCAGUAAGGAAUAUUGGUCAAUGGACGCAAGUCUGAACCAGCCAUGCCGCGUGGAGGAUGAAGGUCCUCUGGAUUGUAAACUUCUUUUAUCUGGGAAGAAAUCCAUGAAUUCUUUCGUGGUUGACGGUACCAGAUGAAUAAGCACCGGCUAACUCCGUGCCAGCCGCCGCCGUAACAC